rnacentral:lncRNA from 1 species
AAUGGCAAGAAAUAUUGAUCAAAACAUUACACGUCUAACAGCUCCUUUCAAAACAUAGACAGUGAUCGUGACGCUGCAUACGACUUGCUGAAAGUAAAAUGAAAAUCUUCAUUCUAUUUGCUUUUGUAAGUGUCAUCGCAACAGAAUUAACAGAGGAGAAGGAUGUUAUAGUUCUUACAACAGAUAACUGGAGUGAAGCUGUCCGAGAAGAUAACAAUAUUUUAGUAGAAUUCUAUGCGCCAUGGUGUGGACAUUGUCAAACACUAGAGCCUGAAUAUGCCAAAGCGGCUAAAAAAUUAAAAGACUUAAAAUCAACGAUAACUCUAGGAAAAGUUGACGCCACAGUGGAGACAAAACUUGCUGAAAAAUAUGGAGUGAAAGGUUUUCCAACAUUAAAGUUUUUUAAAUCCGGAAAAGAGCAAGAAUACAAUGGGGGACGAACUGAGGCAGAAAUUAUUUCUUGGUUAAAUAAAAAAACAGGACCUCCAGCUGCUGUUGUUGCUUCAGCUGAAGAAUUGAAAGUAUUUGUUGAUGCUCGAGAAGUUGCAGUUGUUGGAUUUUUUGCUAACCAAGAUUCUGAUCUUGCUAAAGUUUUCUUAAAUGUUGCUGAUAGCACUGAUGAUAUUGAAUUUGCAAUUACCACUCCUUCAAAUUCUGGUGAAUAUGCUGUUACUGAAGAUAAAAUUGUUGUUUUUAAAAAAUUUGAUGAUUUACGUGCUGAUUACACUGGAAAUGCAGACGAAGCUUCAUUAAAAUCAUUUGUUAGAGGUGAAUCAAUUGCUCUUGUUACAGAAUUUACUGAUGAAGUUGCAUCAAAAAUCUUUGGCGGUGACAUUAAAUCUCACAUUCUUUUGUUUGUUAGUAAAAAAGCAGAAAAUUUCAAGGAAACAAUUAACCAAUUUACAGAGGCUGCAAAACAAUUUAAAGGAAAAGUUCUUUUUAUUUAUAUUGAUUCUGAUUUUGAUGAAAACUCUCGUAUCAUGGAAUUUUUCGGUCUUAAAGUUGAAGAUAUUCCAACAUUAAGAAUCAUCAAGUUAGAGGGAGAUAUGACAAAAUAUGUUCCAGAAACUAAAGAAAUUAAUAAAGACACGAUAUCUUCAUUUGUUUUGGCUUUUGUUGAAGGCAAGCUGAAACCAUUUUUAAUGUCAGCUGAUAUUCCCGAAGAUUGGGAUAAGAACCCUGUUAAAGUUCUUGUAGGAAAAAAUUUCGCAGAAGUCGUUUAUGCUGAAAAGAAUGUUUUAGUUGAAUUUUAUGCUCCUUGGUGUGGACAUUGCAAACAGCUAGCACCUAUUUGGGAAAAACUUGGUGAAAAAUAUGCAGAAAAUCCAGAUAUCAUUAUUGCCAAAAUGGACUCAACUACCAAUGAAGUUGAAGAUGUUAAAAUUUCCAGCUUCCCAACAAUUAAAUAUUUCCCUAAAGAAGGAGGAGUUAUUGAUUAUAAUGGCGGAAGAACAUUAGAAGAUUUUGUUAAAUUUAUUGAAUCUGGAGGUAAAGAUGGCGCUAGUGCUCCUGAUGAUGAUUCCACUGAUGAGCCAAUUGAAGCUGGAGAAGAAGGUGAAGAAGUCUCUGAAGAGGGAGAAGAAGUUGAUGCUUCUAAUGUCAAAACUGAAUUAUAAAGAGAUUUUUUUAAUUAUUUUCAAUCAUAUUUAUAAUUGUUAAAAUCGAAAUUAGCUUGGUUCAAUAUAUAUUUUGAAUUAUCUAUUUAUUAGACAAAAUAAUGACAAAGCAUGUCAGUUAGGUACGCUUUUAAUUUUUCAUUGUUUUCAAGACAAAAAAUUGCUUAUUAGCUUUAAUCUAUUUUUUUAAUAUGAAAAUUACAUCUAUUUGUAAGGAGCUGUUUGUGUUAGAUCUUUCAAAGAAUAUUUGUUUAUAUUUUAUAUUAUGAAGAUUUUUUAAAUAUUCAAAUGAAAGGCGGAUAAAAUAAAAAAGA